AGACUUCUCUUAAUCAUCACGUCUUAAUUACAUCCUGCGCCCGUAUAGGAGGAUAUUUGUCUUGCUGUUAUUUCCCGCAACGCCUUACUGACUGAUACUGAUAUGUACCAUAUAUACUUCAAAGGAUCAUGCAUAGGUCUUGAAUGAGAACGAUACUAGUUGAUUAGUUUCUCUGGACUGGAAUCAUCCCGGUGCCUAUAACCACUGUCACUCCUAUCACUCACCUUCGCGCACAGUUCUGCACUUAAUGACUGACGUGCAAUAUCAAGAGUCAGCCUCUCUCAAAUGAUGGACAGUACGAUGAAGAGCAUGUCGUUAACUGAGAGUAAGUUUCCUAU